UGAGGAAUAUUGCACAAUGGGCGCAAGCCUGAUGCAGCGACGCCGCGUGUGGGAUGAAGGGGCUACGCCUCGUAAACCACUGUAGCCCGGGACGAAAAACGCCUUAGGGGCGUUAGACGGUACCGGGAAAGUAAGGGUCGGCUAACUACGUGCCAGCAGCCGCGGUAAUACGUAGGACCCAAGCGUUGUCCGGAUUUACUGGGUGUAAAGGGUGCGCAGGCGGAUGGGUAAGUCAGGGGUGAAAGUCUGCAGCUUAACUGUAGAAUUGCCUUUGAUACUGCUCAUCUUGAGUGUGGGAGAGGUUGAUGGAAUUCCAGGUGUAGCAGUGAAAUGCGUAGAUAUCUGGAAGAACACCAGUGGCGAAGGCGGUCAACUGGCCCAUAACUGACGCUCAGGCACGAAAGCGUGGGGAGCAAACA
rnacentral:rRNA from 1 species